GAAAAACGGGCUAAUAACACUUCCCUGUGGCUAUUUUGUCUCAGAUUACUCCUACAUAAAGUCAAAUUAAGUGGACAACAGGACAAGGAUGCCCGCCUGUCCAUGUCUCUGUCCUUUGCUCUGCACUAUGGAGCCAAUCAGAUGGAACUUCACAUAAAUCCUGUUAUAAAAGCAUCUUAUUUCAUCCCACUGCUCCAUCAUUUCACAUUACUGCACUAUAAACAUGACAUGCACCCCUACAAUCUUUACUCCUCAUUUACAUUGAGUGCACAAAAAAGUUUGGAUUGAUUGAUUGAUUUUGUCCGGGGGAAAAAAACAUACAUAACACUAAGAUGACCGGGAUUGCACAGUAAAGUUGGGGACUUAUUUCCAUUGUGGUCCCUAUUUUUUUUUGUUACAUAAAUACAUAAACAAUUACAUAGAGACGAAAAAAUACUGAAUCUCCAGAUGAGUAUGAUGUGGUUUUAAGUACAAUUCUUACCAGUUUGGCUGGUAGCUUAUUCUUUAGAUGUUUGUGGCUGUUGGUGAACCAUGAUGUGCAGGCAUAAUCAAGUGACACUGGACUGGUGCACUUGCCAGAGUUUUUAGGGUGUCUAUAGCUAGGUUUCCAUUCAGUUGGCGACAGAUUUUCAUGUGAAUAUUGUGGUAAACCGUGGGGUGUUGGGCUGAGCUGCAGAAAAAAACACACAACCCUCCCCUGUGUCCCCCCAAAAACACAAAACCCUCCCCUCUGUCCCCCCAAAAAACACACUACCCUCCCCUGUGUCCCCCGAAAAAACGCACUACCCUCCCAAAAUAAAAAAGAAAAGGUUGGCAACCCUCCCGUGUUUUGGACCACCCCUCACCCCAGUCCAAUCUGUCCCUAAGCACUGUGAAAUUAUUUGUUGCCCAAAUAAGGAGGGCUUUCUGGGAAGGCUUAAUAGCCUACUCCUACCUUUACAAGCAUGCUCAAUUCAUGAUUUCUUUAAGUGCUUUAAGUCCUGGAAUAUGCUUAAUCUGGAUCUGGGAAACUUGCCAUAGAGCCUCUCAUAGAUGGGCUUCCUUUGAUGCCUGUAUCCUCCCUUUGCUCCAGGCAUGAGGAGAGACUGUGACCUGGCCAAAUUCACUGAUGUCCCCAAAUCCUUGUCUGAUAACUUAAAGUAUCAGAGUGCUGUCAUUGUCUAAAUGCAUAAGUAUUUUUCUUUAUGUGUUUCUGGUUUUUGUGCAGAGGCUAUCCAGUUCUUCUGGCUGGAGAAUGGUGUAUUGCUGACACAUGGGGAUACUGAGGGGGAAACUACUUCCUCGCCCUAAAACUAAGACCCACAUAGAGUAUUCUGCCACAGGAGUAGGUGAAGAGGCUUAUCUGCGCUUCGGAGGUAAAAGACAUGGCUGAGUUUGUCAUCAGACAGCUGUCGAUUUCCAGUUCUGUCUAGACUGUUUCCAUGGAAACGGAUACUGUUCGGAACCAGAACCAGAAGACUGAAUGAAGACUGUGAGUCUGAAAACACCCUCAACAACAGCUCUAUUACCAUACAGGCCACAGUACAGGCACAGAGACUGACGGGUGUUCCUGAUAACACUAUCACAUGACUGGAAGACACAAAAGGAUGCUAUCUAUCAGAUGGGAAGCAGAAGGCACAAGCUGUGGUUUUGUCAACGGACAGUCUCAACUGUUCCACAGAGAUAGGAAAACACACACACACACUGCAUGCCUUCCUGUGGCUUCCUGUGCAUUUAGCAACAUUUCCGGAAACUGCCACCAUACUCGAGGACAUUCAACCAUCAAGCCAAAUACCUCAUAGGGAAAUUAAAAAGGGUCAACUUUUUUAUGUAUGUCAAUAAACAUAUUUAAUUCUGGAUUUCAGAAUUGACAAUUCA